rnacentral:rRNA from 1 species
GGGGGCCUACGGGGGGCAGCAGUGGGGAAUAUUGCACAAUGGGGGAAACCCUGAUGCAGCGACGCCGCGUGAGCGAGGAAGUAUUUCGGUAUGUAAAGCUCUGUCAGCAGGGAAGAAGAAUGACGGUACCUGAAGAAGAAGCACCGGCUAAAUACGUGCCAGCAGCCGCGGUAAUACGUAUGGUGCAAGCGUUAUCCGGAUUUACUGGGUGUAAAGGGAGCGCAGGCGGUUCUGCAAGUCUGGUGGGAAAAGCCGGGGCUCAACCGCGGGACUGCCUUGGAAA